CCUACGGGAGGCAGCAGUGAGGAAUAGUGGUCAAUGGACGAGAGUCUGAACCAGCCAAGUAGCGUGAAGGAUGACUGCCCUAUGGGUUGUAAACUUCUUGUAUAGGGGAAUAAAAUGUUCCACGUGUGGGAUUGUGUAUGUACCAUAUGAAUAAGGAUCGGCUAACUCCGUGCCAGCAGCCGCGGUAAUACGGAGGAUCCGAGCGUUAUCCGGAUUUAUUGGGGUUCACGGGAGCGUAGGAGGAUUGGUAAGUCAGUUGUGAAAGUUUGCGGCUCCACCGGAAAAUUGCAGUUGAUACGUGCAGUCUUGAGUACAGUAGAGGUGGGCGGAAUUCGUGGUGUAGCGG
rnacentral:rRNA from 1 species